UCCCCUCGCCUCGCACGAUCUACCGCAGCAUCUCCUUCUCGAUCUUUGUCUCAAAAAAAUCUCCUUCUCGAUCUCUCCUCCUCUCUCCUGGUCUUCAUCCGUGAUUCUUCCUCAGUCUCUCCCUCCGUUCGUCUCGCCUCUCCGUACGCACCACCAGCCGCCUAUCCUGUGGUCGUCUUUUCCCCAAUCAUCCCGAUCCCUUCUCUCCGAGGCAGCCGUUCUCUCUCUCCAUCCCAUGUCCUCUCUCCUUCCUGGGCGGACGGAGACUCGGGCAUAGUGUUGGUGGCCGUGGACGAAGUUGGCGCCAUAUGCAAGGUUGGGGACGAGGAGUCGUCGAGGCAUGGCGUUGGAGGCUGUGGAAGGAGCCAUCCCUAGGGUUGGGCGCUCCUGAACGGGGAUGGAGGCUAUAGCUUGCGGUGGUGCUCACUCGUGCCGAUGCAGAUGGAUUCUUCGACCCACAAGAAGAUGUGUGACGGGCUGCUCAACUCCAGUGAGAAGCUUCUAUCGUGGUAGGCAGCCCGUGGUCAUGGCAGGACCCGAUGUCGUUGCUCGGUACUCUGGGAGCUAGCUCGCCUGCGUCCAAAUGAGCAAUAUAACUUCCUGACGUGGACUCCAUAUGAGGACAAAAAUGUUGGCUGAAUACAACAGGACAAUAAUGUUGUAGUAGAGAGCACUUCUUGCUUACUGCCAGCUUGGGGUUCGUCAUAUACGUCCGUUUGUUGUAGUGCCAUGGAUUGUGAUACAACACCAUGCAUACACAUUGUAGUGAGUUGGAACCGGAUGCUAAGUGAAGACAAGAACGUUUCACAGUAAAAAGGAGGAACAAGAAUGCAUAAGACAUGAAGUGCAGCCUGAAAACUGAUGUGAGAUUAUAUGGAAUAGCUUCAAUAUUGCUUCUGCUUCACGCUCUAAUUAUGCAGCAAGACCACUUCAUGACUGUUGUGAGAAUAUAUGGAACAACUUUUGAGAUGCUUGAGCUCAAGAUUACUGACACCAGUUCCAUUACCUGUAAAUCUCUCACCGAUGAAAAGAAAACAGGCGCAACAAGACGCGCGUAUGCUUCUAGUUUCUUUGAAAGCCGCUGAAGAUGGCGGGGGACCUUGCUUCCUGCCCCGUCAGCAGUUUUUCACAGGAACGAGCGGGGGUUUCCUCCCCCUACCUCUCGAGGCGUGGAAGUCCUUCCCGGGGAAAAGCCGUGGAAGGGGCAGGGUGUCCCAAUCUAAUUGGCGUCCAAAUACAGCGGUGGGGUUCCUGGGGUUGAUUCAACAUGUGGGUUCUCCACCCAGGGAAGAGGCAGGGAUCCCCAGAGGAUCCCCUUAACCAAAUGAGCCCUGAAGGAUCGCUGCGGAUUAAUCCCGCCAUAGCUUCCAAUCUCCGCGCUCGUGUACGGCCGCAGGGCAGGAGAGUCCAAUGAUGUGGAGCCCCAUCCGGCCACCGCCCUACGUGCGGGCCCUGGCUACAACGGUGACCGCUCUAGACUGGAUCACCAGCCGGAUGACGAUGGGCGCUAUCAUCAGGGCGUCGGCGAAGGGCAUGCGCCCGGGACACACACGUUCUAUGUAUACGAACCCAUCAUAUGUAUGAAAAUACGUACAAUCUAUGAAAAAUUCAUAUUGUCUUUUA